ncrna:unclassified sequences L4-Archaeoglobi ribosomal protein leader
CUGACAAAAAUGCAUGGGUCGAUAUCGGAAUCGAUAGCCCGGUCCGCCUCGAAGCACCUUCAAGAAAAGUGCGAACUGGCGAGCGCGUUAAUGUCAG